rnacentral:misc_RNA from 1 species
UACGAAGGUGGCGAGCGUUACUCGGAAUGACUAGGCGUAAAGGGCAGGUAGGUGGCUCGGUAAGUCUGCUGUGAAAGCUCCCGGCCUAACUGGGAGAGGCCAGCAGAUACUGUUGAGCUUGAGUAUGGGAGAGGGUACUGGAAUUCCCGGUGUAGCGGUGAAAUGCGCAGAUAUCGGGAGGAACACCAAUGGCGAAAGCAGGUACCUGGACCAUUACUGACACUCAGCUGCGAAAGCUAGGGGAGCAAACAGG